UACGUAGGUGGCAAGCGUUGUCCGGAAUUAUUGGGCGUAAAGCGCGCGCAGGCGGUCCUUUAAGUCUGAUGUGAAAGCCCACGGCUCAACCGUGGAGGGUCAUUGGAAACUGGAGGACUUGAGUACAGAAGAGGAAAGUGGAAUUCCACGUGUAGCGGUGAAAUGCGUAGAGAUGUGGAGGAACACCAGUGGCGAAGGCGACUUUCUGGUCUGUAACUGACGCUGAGGCGCGAAAGCGUGGGGAGCAAACAGG
rnacentral:rRNA from 2 species